GUGUAGGCGGUUUGUUAAGUCAGAUGUGAAAGCCCACGGCUCAACCGUGGAAGUGCAUCUGAAACUGGCAGACUUGAGUACCGGAGAGGGAAGUGGAAUUCCUGGUGUAGGGGUGAAAUCCGUAGAUAUCAGGAGGAACACCGGUGGCGAAGGCGACUUCCUGGACGGAUACUGACGCUGAGAUCCGAAAGCGUGGGGAGCAAACA
rnacentral:rRNA from 1 species